rnacentral:rRNA from 1 species
UACGUAGGUGGCGAGCGUUGUCCGGAUUUACUGGGCGUAAAGAGCGCGCAGGCGGCUGGUCAAGUCGCGUGUGAAAGCCCCCGGCUCAACUGGGGAGGGUCACGCGAUACUGAUCGACUCGAAGGCAGGAGAGGGAAGUGGAAUUCCCGGUGUAGUGGUGAAAUGCGUAGAUAUCGGGAGGAACACCAGUGGCGAAGGCGACUUCCUGGCCUGUUCUUGGCGCUGAGGCGCGAAAGCGUGGGGAGCAAACAGG